rnacentral:rRNA from 1 species
GUUGAACGCUGGCGGCAGGCCUAACACAUGCAAGUCGAACGGUAACAGGAAGAAGCUUGCUUCUUUGCUGACGAGUGGCGGACGGGUGAGUAAUGUCUGGGAAACUGCCUGAUGGAGGGGGAUAACUACUGGAAACGGUAGCUAAUACCGCAUAACGUCGCAAGACCAAAAAGGGGGACCUUCGGGCCUCUUGCCAUCGGAUGUGCCCAGAUGGGAUUAGCUAGUAGGUGGGGUAACGGCUCACCUAGGCGACGAUCCCUAGCUGGUCUGAGAGGAUGACCAGCCACACUGGAACUGAGACACGGUCCAGACUCCUACGGGAGGCAGCAGUGGGGAAUAUUGCACAAUGGGCGCAAGCCUGAUGCAGCCAUGCCGCGUGUAUGAAGAAGGCCUUCGGGUUGUAAAGUACUUUCAGCGGGGAGGAAGGGAGUAAAGUUAAUACCUUUGCUCAUUGACGUUACCCGCAGAAGAAGCACCGGCUAACUCCGUG